GACGAACGCUGGCGGCGUGCUUAACACAUGCAAGUCGAACGGAAAGGCCCUGCUUUUGUGGGGUGCUCGAGUGGCGAACGGGUGAGUAACACGUGAGUAACCUGCCCUUGACUUUGGGAUAACUUCAGGAAACUGGGGCUAAUACCGGAUAGGAGCUCCUGCUGCAGGGUGGGGGUUGGAAAGUUUCGGCGGGUGGGGAUGGACUCGCGGCUUAUCAGCUUGUUGGUGGGGUAGUGGCGUACCAAGGCUUUGACGGGUAGCCGGCCUGAGAGGGGGACCGGCCACAUUGGGACUGAGAUACGGCCCAGACUCCUACGGGAGGCAGCAGUGGGGAAUCUGGCACAAUGGGCGGAAGCCUGAUGCAGAAACGCCGCGUUCGGGAUGACGGCCUUCGGGUUGUAAACCGCUUUCGCCUGUGACGAAGCGUGAGUGACGGUACUGGGUAAAGAAGCACCGGCUAACUACGUG
rnacentral:rRNA from 1 species